GCGGGGGUGGCGGAACGGCAGACGCGCCAGACUUAGGAUCUGGUGCCAUUGGCGUGGGGGUUCAAGUCCCCCCCUCCGCACCA
rnacentral:tRNA from 1 species